UACGGGGGGGGGCAAGCGUUGUUCGGAAUUACUGGGCGUAAAGGGCGCGUAGGCGGCCUGCUAAGUCGGAUGUGAAAUCCCUCGGCUCAACCGAGGAACUGCAUCCGAUACUGGCGGGCUUGAAUCCGGGAGAGGGAUGUGGAAUUCCAGGUGUAGCGGUGAAAUGCGUAGAUAUCGUAAGGAAGACCAGUGGCGAAGGCGGGUCUCUGGACAGUUCCUGACGCUGAGGCACGAAGGUCAGGGGAGCAAACGGG
rnacentral:rRNA from 1 species